rnacentral:rRNA from 1 species
ACGGGGGGAGCAAGCGUUGUUCGGAUUUACUGGGCGUAAAGGGCGCGUAGGCGGCCACCGCAAGUCGACUGUGAAAUCCCCGGGCUCAACCUGGGAAUUGCAUUUGUGACUGCAGCGCUGGAGUGCGGCAGAGGGAGAUGGAAUUCCGCGUGUAGCAGUGAAAUGCGUAGAUAUGCGGAGGAACACCGAUGGCGAAGGCAAUCUCCUGGGCCUGCACUGACGCUCAUGCACGAAAGCGUGGGGAGCAAACAGGA